UACGUAGGGGGCUAGCGUUGUCCGGAAUCAUUGGGCGUAAAGAGCGUGUAGGCGGCCCGGUAAGUCCGCUGUGAAAGUCGGGGGCUCAACCCUCGAACGCCGAUGGAUACUGCCGGGCUAGAGUCCGGAAGAGGCGAGUGGAAUUCCUGGUGUAGCGGUGGAAUGCGCAGAUAUCAGGAGGAACACCGGUGGCGAAGGCGGGUAGCUGGGCCGACACUGACGCUGAUGCGCGAAAGCCAGGGGAGCGAACGGG
rnacentral:rRNA from 1 species